AUGGAGAUAUUAAUUCAUCGCCUAUAAAAUCAAAUACCAUUAGAAAAGUGAAACAGAAAAAUAAUAAGUAAAACAAAAAUAUAACUUCAACACAAUAAGAGCCACGAAUAUGAAUUUAGGGCAAUACAACAAAAAUAGGUGAAACAUGAUGAAAAAACUUCAAUGGGCAGACAUUACUUCCCAUCAACAACUAGAAAUGAAGGAUGUUUUUCUCAAUUACUAGAGCUUUUAUGUCAUGUGAAGGCUGAUCUCAAAGUUCGGUUUCAUUUUGUAACCUCAAUUUUAAAUAGGGGAAAAUUACAAGGCAAAAAUUGGUGCACAGAAGUUGCUACCAAUGAGGAUGCUGAGGUUGCCAAUGAAGACACAGAAAAUUGGCAGCCACUUUGCACGGCAUCCAAUUAUCUACGAAGGGAAAACAUUGGCGCCCAUGUUAUGAUGGGGUUAUAUGCAGCUGGAUGUUCUUGGAUGGAAUUAAAUAAAAUGGGAAUCACACAGGAGAGGCAGCCAACCCUACCUUAAACCAGAUAUUUUUCUUUUCUUCAUUACCCCCUAAUCAUGUGGUAUAAGGAUUCAUUUUCCUUAACCACUGGCCAUGGAUAAUUCAUGUUCUUCAAACAAGAAAAGUUAAAUUAGUAUAGAAUGUAAGAAAGCCCACCUACACUCAUCACAAGACUAAGCUAGGAAAACAAUUACCUUACUCUAUGUUCAUACGUCCAUAGUCAACCAACUACAUAAUAGCCACACUAUUUAGGGGUUUGAUCAUUCUAGUUUUCAUAGGUAAAGUGGACCAUAAUUAUUACAGUUUGGCUCGGGUAAACCCCUAGACAAAUGGAUUAGCGAAACAAGGUAUUAAAUUUUUCCGCAGUUGUCAUGUCCAAUUUUAGUAAUCUACUGAUCAAUUCCGUUCAGUUGUUAGUCGCCUAUUUAAUUUAAACACUUCGCCCAGCCACCAAUUGCAAUACCAAUAAAGUUAACGAGCACAUACCAAAAUUCAUCCAAAGAAAAUAAAAAUUAGAGCUUGUUAAAAAGUUUGUCACCUAGUUCGCAAUCGCUCUCGAGA
rnacentral:misc_RNA from 1 species